AUGAAUAAUGUAUAUAUUUAUGUAUGCAUAUAUGCAUGUGUAAUGUACGUAUGUGUAUUCAUUUUAUAUGAUUGUGAGUACCUGCAUGAGUUGAUGUGCACUGUGUGUAUGUCUGGCCAUCUCAGAGAUCAAAUGAGGGUAGCAGACCCCCUGGAACUGGAGUCACAGGCCACAGUGAACUGCCUGAUGUGGGUACUGGGGACAGCAAGUGCUCUUAACCACUGAGCCAUCUCUCCAGCCUCUGGAUUGUAAGACAAUGCUAUGAUAAAUUUUAAUAGUUCCUAUUUUGUUUACGGCUUCGGCGCCUGUUCCUUGUAAACGCUAUAGCUGCAAUUAUUUCCGAGAAUGACGAUAGAUGAGGUGGUAGUAAAAGUAGUAAAGUCACUUCCGGGACUCCUGGAUCCACCAGACUACAGUUCCCAGACGCCUUUGCAGCCACGUGUGGUCACAUGACCAUUUCUGGCCAGUGGGGUAUGAGAAGUAAUGGAUGCUAUUUGCAGGCCUGGGACCGGGAGGAAAUUGAUGACUAGCUGCUGUAUGCUCCUGUGCCUUGGCUUCCGCACUACAGUGGGACAUGCGGAACUGUGAGCUAAAAUAAGCCCUUACACCUUUAAGUUGCUUAUGCAGGGUUAUGACUACAACAGGAGGGAAACUUUGUAGCACAUAAAUUCACACAACUUUGUAGCUAUAGAUACAGCCACAGGAGAUAAACUUUGUUGCAUAUAAAUCCAUGCAGCUUUGUGGCUAUAGAUACAGAAACAAAGACAAGGGUGGAUACAGGCAAGUGACCCACUGGGCUCAGGCAAGUGCCCAGGCUGUAGCCUGAGCCAGACAGACAAGGUCAGAGCAGGUGCCAAGGCCACAGCCUACAUGCACCCCAAGGUAGGCAUGAACUUGGUCCAACACAUAAUCAGUAGCUUAAUCAGACCAUUAUGCUGUGUAACUUAGGCUAUCCUGGAUCUUGCACAGUGGCUUAGGCUCGCCUCAAACCACAAUCCUUCCGCUUCAGCUCUGUGAACUCUGAAAUGACAGGUAUGUGCCACCAUGUCUAGCUGAGCUGUCCCUUCUCUUCAAGGUUGAAUAGCCUUGUCCCUAACGCUUGGGCCCUGAAGGAUUUCAGACUUAGAUUUUCUUGCAAGUUUGAAUAUCUGAAUGUGUGUGUGUGUGAGAGAGAGAGAGAGAGAGAGAGAGAAAGAGAGAGAGUUGCAUUUGUAUGGGUCAGUUCUAAGUCCAUGUGUUUAACAUACAUUUAUUCACAUGGCCUGCAGUCACUUUAUAUGGUAUUUUUAGUGCAUGGUAUGUUUGUGACCUGUCACGUGAGGUCAGGUAUGGGAUUUCGGGUUUGGGAUUGGGAUGCUGUACCUAUGCGUGUAUCCCGACUCCUUCAUCCUUUCAUCUGGAUGGGGCUCAAGUCCGCUGUGGGUCUCUGGACUUGACCUCCAUGUUCAGACAGGCACGCCUACCUGGAGCCCCAUGAGUCUAACCUGACAAGAUGGCCUCCCUCCGCUCUGCCCUCUGGCGAACAAGCCCAGCUCACCGUGCUGUCCUGGAUGUAUUGCUCCCAGAUGCUGGCUGUCAACCCUUGCCCAGCAUCGCAGGGCAGGUCUGGAGACACGAUCAUGUGAUUGACCAGUGCCGACAGGUGGGUCCUCACGGUGGACAGGUGUCUGCAGUAGGCGAGCCCUGGCCAGGGAGGGAAGGCAGGCUUCAUCUUCUGCCCACCGCACUUCACCAAGUCUCUCCAGGGAACUCCACAGGGCUAUCCUGUCACCCACCUCUAUCUUUAGGAACUCUCAACCCAGAAAAUUCUCACUGUCCCCUUUCAGACAAGGAAAGCAAGUUGGGGAUGCUGUCGCUGGGUGUCCUGACAACUAAACCUAAGGGAAGUUUUGUUCUUGGACAGACACCACCUUCCACUACUUGAAGCCAUUUAAUAGAUGCUCUGUGGGCAGAGAAGGGACAGGGAGGUAGGAGGAACUAAGGGACUUCCUUCUGGGACUUCUGGGCUCACUCUGGGACUGCUUCCCAGCCAUCUAGAGAGAACAGUGGCCAGAUGUGGGCAGAAUGGCCAGAUGUGGGCAGAAUCCCUGCAGGAUGGAGAAGGGAAUGCCUGGGAGGUGCCGAGCACUCUGCUUGCUCUCCAAGCUAACCCUGUCCCCUCAAAGGGGUGCUUGCCACAGGCACCUUCAUCUACUUUGUCCUGGGCACUGGGAGCAUGCCUGUCACACAAGGCACUCUAUAAAUGCUUCUUGAAGAUGAUAGCAGGAAUGGAGACCUGUACUCACAUCCGUAGAAGGCUCUGGAAAGGAUCUGGUACUUCAUGUUAUCACAGAGCAGUUUCAGGGGAGCCCUGCAGGAGACGUGGGGAACAGAGAGAUACACACAGCUCAGCUGCUCUGCAAACGAAUCACCCACGCUCCACCCAGCAGAUCAAAGUCAGCUGUCAGGGCUGAGGGAGGCUGCUGUGGCCCUGUCCCCCCACACUCCUUCUCUGUCACAAGUUUCUGUUGGGGGUUGGGGGCACACCACUUCAUAACUUGUGUCGCCCAUGGCUUGGAUGCUCUGAAUGAUCCCCUAGUUCCUGAACCAGGCUGAGAUGACUGGCUGAGAAGCUGUCAUGUGACCCAGCCUGGGCCAAUGAAAAUCAGCCCUGGGAUUUUUGGUGUCUCUACCUGGACGCAUGCUCCUUUCUUGCUUAAGUUUCUAAGAUAGUGGGAUAUAUAGGGUUGCUGGAAGUCUUGGCCAUCACCAGGGUGGGCCAGCCCAAGAACACAGCAGCAUAAAGGUGCUGGCUCGGCCCACAUCUGGAGACCAGGAGAGUCGUUCCUGUUCUGAACAUCUGGAUUCAACCAGGCUUAAAGCCACUGUGCACCCCGAACUUCUCAAUCAUGCUACCCCAGGAAUACCGGACAAACCCAGGAAGCUUGAGAAUGGAGCACGGCUAAAGUCCUGGGGAGGACUGCUGAUGUCCCAGGGGUGAUCGUCCCACUUCCUGCCCUUAGGCUGUGAUAUAGCCACUCCUCAGGCUUGCAACUCUGCAAGGAGGAGCACACAGAACGCAUGGCUGUCAUUAAGUGAUACCCCUGGCUCCUGGUGCAUGCUGGACCUGCCUUCCUGUGAGUGGGACCAUGGAGUUGAAAAGUAGAAAUACCACUGCCUCUGAUACUGUGGCCUAGUGACAUCCGAGAUGGACGUCCGUUAGAAAGCGGGCCCAUGGCAGCCUCACACACACAGGACGCUCCAGCAUUUGCUAUAAAAAACCAUUGUCUCAGGACUGUAUGUUGCUGCAGCAGAACGUUAUCCGGAUGGACACGUGCAAGGCAACUCCAGGGGCCAGUUCCACAUGAAGCCAUGAUUUAAACCUACCUCCAUUCUCCAUUUAAACCUCCCCAAACUCAGGAAGAGGCAAGAGAUGGACAGCCAGGGGCCUUUGGUUUGUGGUUCAAGCUCCUCCCUGAAGGAGGAGCCUAAGCCC